GACGAACGCUGGCGGCGUGCUUAACACAUGCCAGUCGAACGGAGUGGCGAACGGGUGAGUAACACGUGGGUGACCUGCCCUGCACUUCGGGAUAAGCCUGGGAAACUGGGUCUAAUAACGGAUAGUGUGGGAUGGGCCCGCGGCCUAUCAGCUUGUUGGUGGGGUAAUGGCCUUCCAAGGCGGCGACGGGUAGCCGGCCUGAGGGGGUGGACGGCAACAUUGUGACUAAGACACUGCCCAGACGCCUACGGUAGGCAGUAGUGGGGAAUAUUGCACAAUGAGCGGAAUCCUGAUGCAGCGACGCCGCGUGGGAGAUGACGGCCUUCGGGUUGUAAACUCCUUUCACCAUCGACGCGGUAGUUGGAGAAGAAGCACCGGCUAACUACGUGCCAGCAGCCGCGGUAAUUC
rnacentral:rRNA from 1 species